UUUCCGUAGGUGAACCUGCGGAAGGAUCAUUCAUAAUAAGUGUUUUAUGGCACUUUUUUAAAUCCAUAUCCACCUUGUGUGCAAUGUCAGGGUUGCUUUUUCUCUCGAGAGGAUCGGCCCCAAACAUCAACUAUAUCUCAACUCUUUGUCUGAAAAAUAUUAUGAAUAAAACAAUUCAAAAUACAACUUUCAACAACGGAUCUCUUGGCUCUC
rnacentral:misc_RNA from 1 species